UCACUUGAAACACGCCAUCUAAUAUUCUCAAGAAGAACCCUAGCCAUUUACCACCCCGACAAUUCAGUCUGGCGCUCAGACACCCGCGAAUCCGUUCCUUUGAACCCAAAAAAGAAGCGUUUAGAUCUUCCACUGGGAAGGAAACAGCUGUUUGAGCGUAGAGUUGCUCCAAUCAAAUCAACUCAUCAAGUGUGCGACUAGCUGAUCUAAGGAUGAUGCCUCUUUCCUCUUCACCCAAGAUGAGGGCACUGACCAUAGGAAGUUUCAUAUUGGGUAUCACCCUAUAUGGUGUUGGUUUGUAUUACGCAUUUGUCAACAUUGAUACUCAACAAGAACUAACCAAUCCUCGAAAGGAAGCUGUCAAAGAAUGGCUGAGAAAGAGAAAGACAAAGGAUGAAUGACAGAAGCAUGCUUUCCAUCUAGGGGAACUAAUGCAUUUGCACAUGUGGAGCUUGCAAUAUUUGGGUAGGAUUUGUGCUAAGUAUGGAGCUUGACCUGCAUGAUGUAUUUAGUGUCAAGGCAUAUGAGCACUGGCAGAGCCACCAUAUGCUCAGAGGAGGAAGUGCCCCCCACACCUCCCCCCAUAGUUUGAGUUGUGUUGCAAAAAGGGCUUAACCUCCAAGCCAAGUUUGCAUCUUGAUAACACAUCCCCGCCUCCGGGCCCAAAAAAAAUUUGUGCCUUACAUUUCUGGCUCUGCCACUGCAUAUGAGAAGUUCUAAUGUAAAAUUAUAGCUCUUGCUGAAAGGAUAAAAAGGAAAGGUCACCAGAAACACUUAUCCCUGCUUAAUAUAAUGCAUAUAGCGGUUAUAGUUUUAAAAUUACUGAUUAUAACUUAAAUAAAACAUAUUUGUAGUUGUUGAAGACGGUA